GGGGGGGGGGGGGGGGGGGGGGGGGGGGGGCGGGGCGGGCGGGGGGGCGGGGGGGUGGCUUGGCGGAUGUGAGGGGCGGACGGGUGGGUACCACGUGGAUAACCUACCUAUAAGCCGGGGGUGACGUCGGGACGCCGGAGCUAGUCCGGGAUAAGAUUUUGCACCGCAUGGUGCAAAAGUGAAAGACGGUCUUGCUGUCACUUAUAGCUGGAUCCGCGCUGCAUUAGCUAGUUGGUAAGGUAACGGCUUACCGAGGCACCGAUGCAUAGCCGACCUGAGAGAGUGAUCGGCCACACGGGAGCUGAGACACGGUCCAGACUCCUACGGGAGGCAGCAGUAGGGAAGCUUCCGCAAUGGGCGAAAGCCUGACGGAGCAACGCCGCGUGAGUGAUGAAGGUCUUCGGAUCGUAAAACUCUGUUAUUAGGGAAGAACAUAUGUGUAAGUAACUGUGCACAUCUUGACUGUACCCAAUCAGAAAGCCACGGCUAACUACGUG
rnacentral:rRNA from 1 species